rnacentral:rRNA from 1 species
UACGAAGGGGGCUAGCGUUGCUCGGAAUCACUGGGCGUAAAGGGUGCGUAGGCGGGUUUCUAAGUCAGAGGUGAAAUCCUGGAGCUCAACUCCAGAACUGCCUUUGAUACUGGAAGUCUUGAGUAUGGGAGAGGUGAGUGGAACUGCGAGUGUAGAGGUGAAAUGCAUAGAUAUCGUCAAGAACACCGAUAGCGAAGGCAGCUUACUGGGCUGUAACUGACGCUGAGGCACGAAAGUGUGGGGAUCAAACAGG